UACGCCGCGAAAAAAUUCGUCGUUCGCUCCAAUUGUGUUCCUAGCAUAAAGUCUAUUUGACACUACAAGAAUCCAACGCAGAGUUGCAUUUUUCUAGUUUCUUUGAACUUGAGAAACCUUUCUAAUUGAGCUAUGUUCUAAAGUAUUUCUGCACCAUCGCCGUUGGCAUUUUGCCAAGUAUAAUCGAAUUUUUGUAUUUUUAGGCAAAAAUAUUUUCAAUUUGCUCUGCUGUGAAAUUUUAUAUCAAAAAGUGUAUACAUAUCGUAUAUGAAACAGGGAAUUAAAUCAAAGAGCAGAGAAUAUUACUAUCGAGUCAAAUCAGCUGGGGUUUGCUGCUACCUGUACCAAAGAUGUACACAGUGAUGCUCUCCAUUAUGAAUUUGUUUAAAUUAAUGCGGUUUAAACAAUAAAUCCGGAUUUGCAGCUACAUCAAAAGUUUGCACAGACCAUUUUAAUAAGGCAUAUGUGUUGCAGUCAGCAAGUAAAUUGAGACUUCUGCCAAUGGCUAUGCCAGAACUCGGACCACCGCAAUUGAGCCCAUAUAUGAAACCUGACGAUACACAAGUAAAUGUCCACGAUAAGAUUAUUAUUGACAAAACAGAAACGGAAUCAUGCACUCUUAUUGGAAAUCUAGCUCAAAAAACCAAAACAUCAGGAGACUCAAACCCUACCCCGCAUAAAGCUAUCUGAAGAAUGUUAGUUAUUCUAAUAGCUAGCUAGGGUUGAUACACCAAUUUAUACAACAUUUAUCUCAUAAAAGAAAACUUUGACAUGAGGUCCAACCAUGUCUCUGCAUUUCAUGAUGUAGCGAUAUCCGUCUCACUUCCAAAAUAGAUGGGAGAUAUCGGGUCACUCCUUUAAAAAGUUGCCCAUAAAUUCUAAAUUUUGAAAAAAGAAGUGAAUUAUUUACUUGAUAGAAAACAUGAUUCUAACAAAAUGCUUGUAAAAUUAAGAUUUUGAUCGCCACAAAUGGUAUAUUACAAAAAUUCCGUUCUUAAAUGUUUACAAAACUUGGCCAAAAUCUAGUAGUAUCUUUUCUAAACUGUACGUUAUCUACUUAAGGAACUUUUACAGUUUUUGCCGAUGUGCCCCGCUUCUGCGGGAAAACUGUUGCGUUCUAACUUUUUGUAGCCUGAUUUUUUCUUGGUUGUAUUUGUUUCAGUCCUGUAAUUUUUGCAGCGGAUAUUGAAAAAAUGUGCAGCUUUUAAGAUAUCUGCGGAAUGAAAAUAAAGAAUUAAAGAGAAAGCUGCUGGAAUCAAAGACUGCUUUAGAUCACAUUGAAAAAAUAUUUACAGAAGGUCAAAUCAAAAAAUUAAAAUCUAACACAAAUAUUAGAUGGAAAUGGAGGGAUAUAUCCAGUGUUAUUUGCCUGCACGCUGCAGGGCCACGAGCGUACAGACAUUUGUAUCAAAAGAGGCAUCCUCUUCCCAGCAUAUCCACGCUCAAUAACUGGUGUUGUCAAGGAAAGGAUUUUGUGGUCAUCGAUCAAGUUUAUGCGGCAAGUGAAUUAUAUGACAUUAGAUUAAAAAAUUUUUAUUCUAUCUUUCGAUGAAAUGAAAAUUGCUGAAACGUACGAAUACGACUUGCAUAAUGAUGUUGUUCGGAAACCGGCAAAUUAUGUGCAAGUCGUAAUGGCCAGUGGGAUAAAAAAGGGAUGGAAACAACCUGUAUUUUAUGGUUUUGAUUGCAAGAUGACGAGAGAACUUUUACUACAGAUAAUAUGUGUGCUAGAUAAUUCUGGUUAUCCUGUGGUCGCUGUGGUCUGCGACAUUUGACCAUCGAACCGAAAGUUGUGGCGAGAUUUCGACAUAACGCCAGAAAAAACCAUGGUUUUCUCAUCCCACAAAGUCAACGGAAAAAGUAUUUGCUUUUGCUGAUGUUCCCCAUCUUGUGAAGCUAAUCCGAAAUUACUACCUUGACACCGGACUCGUAAUUAAUAAUCGAUUUAUUACUUCAAGGACAAUAACAGAUUUGUUGAAGUUCACUAAUAAAAACGAUACAUCUAUAACAUAUAAAUUAAGCGAAGAACAUCUCUCUGUUAAGGGAGCAGGAAGGCAAAAAGUGAAAUUGGCGACUCAACUUUUCUCUAACACCACAGCAAAUGCUAUCAAAAGGUUUUAUUCCCUCGAGUUCGAAAUAUACAAUGCAAUAGAUACUGCUGAAUUUAUUCAAUGAGUUAAUGAUUGGUUCGGUAUCCACAACUCCUCUUGUAGUACUUUUGGUUUACCCGGGAAGGAACCUUUUGGCAAGUUUAUUGAAACCCAGAAAGGAAUAUUAGAAAGAAUGAACCAAGUUAUGAGUAGUCCAAUCGUGUCCAAUAAAACUCGACUUGAAAUCUUACAGAAAGGAAUUCUUAUUUCCAAUAAUGCUUUGAUACAGUUGUACGACCACUUACAGAAGUAAAACGUGGAGUAUCUAUUGACAAGGCGCCUGAACUAAGACGUUCUUGAACAUUUUUUUGGUUCAAUGAGGAGUGAAGGGGCCUUAACGACCAUUCAACUCCUCAGGAUUUCAAACCAUUCAACUUCUCAGGAUUUCAGAAAAUACAUUUUGGCGCGCAAUACUGAAUUACUUUCUGGAACGGGCAACGUCGAUGUUGAUGAAACAGAAUGGAUUGAUUUCAGUCAAAAUGGGCGUGAGGAUCAAUCAUUCCCCGAAAUAUCGCAACCGUCGCAAGAUGAUGGCUUUGAAAAUUUGAUGGCGGUUCAAAACGCAGAGAUUUAUUUCAAUAUUUGAAAUAUAUCUUUAUAAUAAGAAUAAGUAAUUACUUUGAACCAUUGCUUAUAUUCUUGUAAAACUAUUUACAUCGAGGAUCUGUUUCUGUAUGACGAUGCGAAAGAAACUGGGAAUAAAAACAACAAUUCCGUGAGAAAGUUUAAAGAAAACAGAAGUAAAACAAAUUUUCUUUGUUUCAAUGGGAAAGACAAACUUAAUAUACCCUUCACAGUAUGGUGAAUGGUACAAAACUAGUUACCUUUAAAUGGGGUUUUGCGAUAUAGAGAUAAAGGUCAUCUUCCAAAACUCUACUAACUAAUGCAGGUGUUCGUGUAUACAAAAUGCGCAUUGUUUUUAAUGAUGUGGGACUUCAGCAAAAACAAAUUGGUGAAUCUGCAUUCAGACCUUCAGAGGCUACUUCUGGUACAGCAAACAUGCCAAUAAAAUUUAAAGAAAAUAUCCAUAUAUGCGAGUUGCUUUUAUUGUAUUUUACAUACACAAACAUUUCCAAAAUAAACAAAGCAGAAAUUCGCUGCAAUGUUAUUCUGUCAAGGAAACCUAGUGAACCCUACAACAUACCAGACGUGCUGUUUUAAGUUUCUAUUAAAAAUUAUUUAAAAAAAGUUAGAAUCAUAAGAAAAAGACCUCCAAAUUGCAUAAUUUUGCAAUGGAGGAUCCCGAUUCUCUUCCCCCCGACAUGGAGUUUGAUGUCACGGAAGAGAUCGCAUCAACCUCCAAACAAUUGCCGGCUUUUGCAAACUCCACUAGUAUGCAAGAAAACAAGACAAAACAGAACGAACGAAAGAGACUGCGCCUAGAAAGUGCAAUAUCAUCAAUAAAUGUAUCGGAUCUGGCUGAGAAAUUAACCAACUACAACCCGCAGGACCAAAACAAAUUUGGCAUUUUGGGGGCAUUGGCAGACAUUGACAUUUCCACACCUGUCAGCAAUCCAACCACAACCGAAAUCAAUGUUCCUCCAAAACCAAAAAUCUCCUGGUGCCCACCGAUUUUUACAUACAAUGUCAACAUAAACUCUCUAGUAGAGUCAUUACGUGCCGCAUCCCCACAGUGCAAUUUUAAAAUUAAAAAUAUAAAUAAAAACAAAAGUAAGUUGUACUUUGCAGAUUCUAAAGUUCAUGCCUCAAUGAUGGAUCUUUUAAAGUCAAAAAAUAUUCAGUCAUACUCUUUCACACCCAAGGAUCAAAAGCAGACAUCCCUGAUAAUCCGAAACCUCUUCUCUCUAACUGAACCAGAGGCAAUUAAAAACGAACUAGAUCAGUUAGUUCCUGAAACAGUGGCCAGUGUCUCAAAAUUUAGAACACCGACAUCAAUUAAAAACAACACUGAUACGGGUCUUUUCUUAGUUUGCUUAUUGCCAGGAAAGAAGUUUGGCGAAAUUUCACAUAUUCGCCAACUGCAAUACCAAUCCAUAAUCUGGGAGAAACCCAAAAAAAGGGAUACCUUCGUCCAAUGCCGAAGAUGUCAAGGGCACGGACAUAUAGCACGUAAUUGCAAUUGCUCUUACAGAUGCGUUAAAUGCAAAGACAAACAUCUUCCUGGAGAAUGUAAAAGGUCCAAGACAGACACCUCGGAACCUUACUGUGUUAAUUGCGAAAAAACAGGUCAUCCCGCCAACUGGCGAGGAUGUCCCUCCUAUAAAAAAUAUGCCUCCGACAGGAAAAAAAAGAUGGCAGUAGCAUUAGAAAACAGAGCUCUAGCUCAAAACAAUGUAUCUAAAGCAUUAAACACAUCCAAAUAUUCACCGGAAAAAACUUUUUCAAACUUAUUUAAAAGUGUCACAUCUAUUCCCCAAGAUUCAACCAAAAAACCACAAAUAAUUCAAGACUUCCUUAAGCUAGCAAAUCUUUUUUUGGAACCUGAAGAGCUGGCCUUAGAGCAAGAAAUUCAAAUAUUCCUAACAGAAUAUAAAAACUUGUCAAAAACCGAAGCAAAAAAACAAUUUUUAAUGCUUCUUAAUAAAGUUAAAUUGAAUUAUGGACCAUAGAUCACUAAAAUUUCUUACUUUCAAUGUACGAUCCCUUGUGGAUAGAAGUCGACAAAUAGAAUUAAAAAACACACUACUUCACAAUAACAUCGAUAUAGCAUUCAUCCAGGAAUGUCAUCUCAGAUCCAACAUGCGUGUCAAAAUAAGUGGAUACACUUUUGUCUACGAUAAUUCUCCCACUGGAGUUGCAAUUUUCAUCAAGGACUCAAUUCAAUUCAAGAGAGUUUCCGUUCCGGCCACUGGCAUUAAUACGACACUUAUAGAAAUCUCAUCUAACAAUUCAACAAAAAAAUACCUUCUGGGAUCGGUAUAUAUCCCGUGCAGUUAUCCUGUACAGCGCCUCGAUCUUGAUCUGAAUACAUUACUUCAGUUAUCUAGCAACUUUGAUGGUUUCAUCUUUGGAGGGGACUUAAACUCCAAAAGUCCAACAUGGGGCGACUCCUACGAAAACUCAAAUGGAAGAGUCUUGAGGUCCUGGUUAUCAGAUAAUUCCAUGGAUGUCAUCAGGUUAUGCGAUACUAGCCCAUCGUAUCCAAGUGGUACCUCUUACCUGGAUCAUUUCCUACUCAGCAACCAUUUAAUCAACAGUAGAAAUCCUAACUAUACUAUAUCCACCAGACCCACUUUCUCGGAUCAUUUCCCCAUUAAGUUGGACCUGAAACUUGAUCAUUUAAACAUCGAUUUGACGCCUCCGCAAUUCUUCAUAUCUUAUAAAAACACUAAUUGGCAUAACUUUCGUCAGGACAUAGACGUUAUCUCACGUCAAAUAAUGCCUUCCAUCAAUAGGAACCUGACCAAUGACGAGAUUGAUACCACUCUAAACGGUUUUAAGAGUCAUUUUUCCAACAUCCAUGAAAUACACUCCGAAAAAUUUAAAAUAGAGGAUAGGAGCCUACCAUACUCGGACAAAAUCAAGAAAAUCCUACAAAUUAAACAUCAAUGGCAACGAAAUCUCAAAAAAAUCUUCCAUCGUUCAGGCAACAGGACAAGCCGUGAGUACUCCAUUCUUUCUAAUCAAAUUCAGCUCUUGAAAAUAAUAAUAAAGGAGCUAGUCAAAAUAGAAACAGCCCAAAUAUUUAAUGAUAGAUUGCAAAAAAUCAAACCUAGUCCGUCCGCCUUUAAAGAAAUAUACCGAUUUACAGGAAGCAAUAAAUCAUCUUUCUGCCGUCAGAUCAACCAUGCUAACAACACUAUUACAAACAGUAACGAGAUUGCAGAUCAUUUUAAGAAUUUUUAUUCCACCAUAUUUGAAGACUCAACAACACUUCCUGCCUCAGAUGAGCAUAAUUCUACGCUAUUAACAUGUAUCAACUCAACACCAACUCAUAUAUAUUCAUUCGAUGAAAAUUUUAAUUCUCUCCACAAUCCAGACACAUACCACUUUACUUCAUCUGAAAAUAUAAAAAACAUUAUUUUCAACAUCAAUUCAAAAAAAUCUAGCGGCCCUGAUGAAAUCUCAAACUUUAUAAUCAAGAGAUUUCCAGAAUCCACAAUUAAUUUACUCACGUGCCUUUUCAAUAAUUGCAUUAACAACGGAUACUUUCCCAAACAAUGGAAAGUUGCCAAAAUCAUACCCAUCAAGAAGAAAACAACAAAUUGCAACGUUGAUGACUUUCGCCCAAUUUCCCUUUUGUCAAAUAUUGGUAAAAUACUGGAAGUAGUGCUGAAAGAAAAAUUAAACAAUGAAUUAACUAUUGAUCCAAUAUCAAACUACCAAUUUGGCUUCAAAUCUGGACAUUCCACUCAGCACGCACUUCUCAAGUUUCAUAACGACGUAACAACAAACUUAAGGAGUCAAUCAUGCACAGUUGCAAUAUCAUUGGAUAUACAAAAAGCGUUUGACUCAGUGUCUCACCUCGGUAUUUUGUUCAAAUUAAUUCAACUUGGAGUAGAUCCAUUUAUUAUAAAAAUGCUAAAGAGUUUCUUCAAUUCUCGUAAAUUUAUGGUUCAGAUCCGGAAUACAUCAUCAUCCUUGGGCCAUGUAAAUAGCGGCGUUCCUCAAGGUAGUAUCUUGGCACCAUACCUUUUUAACCUGUUUCUUCAUGACUUUCCACACAUGUAUCAACAUUCCAAAGCAAUCCUGUAUGCAGAUGAUUGCAUAAUCUACGCACAUAAUCCUUCGCCAGCCAUUGCCCUGAGUGUUGCUUCAGAACACCUACACAUAAUCAACAACUUCUAUAAACAAUGGGGUAUUAAAAUAAAUGCCGCUAAAUCGGUAGCCAUAUGCAUACGUAAUGCGUCGGGCAAAUGCCCACGAAAAGUUGUACCAGAAAGCAAGCAAUUAAAAUUGUCUUUAGAAGGAGUAGAAAUUCCUUUCAGCACAUCCUUAAAGUACCUUGGUGUAACAUUCAAUCAUCUCUUAAAAUUCAACGACCAUGCUCGUUCCAUCAUGCAAAAAGUUAAAG